CAUCACCCUAUAGAUGAAUUAUUAUUUGUUUCUGCCAUAAAUGUUGUUCAUGUUGUUGUCCAUAUAUUUAGUUGGUGUCACAACAGUGAUUUGAGCAUCAUGAAAAUAUAGGAAUAACCCUUAAAUUUUAGUCUGUUAUACAGAAACGAGGACAUGGCGCCAUGCAAGCGAGAGGAGCAAGGUGGCUUCUGGGGCUUAGAAUAGGAGGGUGAGAUGGAGUUUUGUGGAGCACUA
rnacentral:rRNA from 1 species